CACGUAGGGUGCGAGCGUUGUCCGGAAUUAUUGGGCGUAAAGAGCUCGUAGGCGGUGUGUCGCGUCGGCCGUGAAAACUUGCAGCUUAACUGUGGGCGUGCGGUCGAUACGGGCAUCACUGGAGUUCGGCAGGGGAGACUGGAAUUCCUGGUGUAGCGGUGGAAUGCGCAGAUAUCAGGAGGAACACCGGUGGCGAAGGCGGGUCUCUGGGCAGUAACUGACGCUGAGGAGCGAAAGCGUGGGGAGCGAACAGG
rnacentral:rRNA from 1 species